AGACUGAGUCAGGAGGAUACACACAAUUUGAACAGACCAAUAUCAAUGGAUGAAAUAGAAGAAGCAAUCAAAAGACUACCAACCAAGAAAAGCCCAGGACCGGAUGGGUAUACAGCGGAGUUUUACAAAACCUUUAAAGAAGAAUUAAUACCAAUACUUUUCAAGUUAUUUCAGGAAAUAGAAAAAGAGGGAGCUCUUCCAAAUUCAUUCUAUGAGGCCAACAUCACCCUGAUUCCGAAACCAGACAAAGACACCUCAAAGAAAGAAAACUACAGACCAAUAUCUCUAAUGAACCUAGAUGCAAAAAUCCUCAAUAAAAUUCUGGUGAAUCGGAUACAAAAGCAUAUCAAAAAAAUUGUGCACCAUGAUCAAGUAGGAUUCAUCCCUGGGAUGCAAGGAUGGUUCAAUAUAUGGAAAUCAAUAAAUGUUAUUCACCACAUCAAUAGACUUAAAGAUAAGAACCAUAUGAUCAUCUCGAUAGACGCAGAAAAAGCAUUCGACAAAGUACAGCAUCCCUUUAUGUUCAAAACAUUAGAAAAACUAGGGAUAACAGGAACUUACCUC
rnacentral:lncRNA from 1 species